AAUAUCUCCUAAGACCAUGAUAUCAGAGAAGUCUAUCCGGAACUUGCUCAGCAAAGUAGCCAUCCUAAAACAAAAAUGAAUAGCACUGAGAGACAUGAAAGCUGUAUCUUUUUAGAUGGUUAAGACUGAAUUUUAUUCUCUCUGUUAAUAACCACCAGCCAUCAUCCAUGUUGGUACAAACUGUUGCAGCCAAAUAGAUCUGAUCUCCACAUGCCAUACAGUUCAUCCUCAUUACACCAUCUAUCAGAACUAGGGGCUGAAUGAUAUUCCACUGUUUGAAUUCAUAUGUUCUGGAUAUUAAACUUCACCAGAUGCAUGACUUACAAGUAUGUUCUUCCAUUCUGUAGGUUGUCUUUCACUUUCUUGAUGUCCUUUGAUGAACGAACCUUUACAGGCAGAUGUCAUCAAAAUGCAGGACGUGGACUGCACAGCAGCACCUGUCCAGUCACAGAAUGGCAGCCUCUCAGGACUCACUGCAGACCUGCUAAGCCACAGCCCAACAGGUUGUUCUCAAAAGUCCACCACGUGAUUCCGAUGCAAGCUCAAGCUUAGGAGCGCUGCUCUAAGAAAGCAUUUUCCCUCAUUUCCUAUAUAAUAUUGACUAAAUACAUAGGAAAUGCUAUAGAAAUAUUCUAUACAUUGUAGAAAACAAACAGGAUUUACUCAGUGGAAACAACCUUAUGUCCAGAGAUAGGAAUUUGCUUAAAUAAUAAAAAUUUCGCAUAGAAAAGU